ACACAUGCAGUCGAGCGGCAGCACAGAGAAACUUGUUUCUCGGGUGGCGAGCGGCGGACGGGUGAGUAAUGCCUGGGAAAUUGCCCUGAUGUGGGGGAUAACCAUUGGAAACGAUGGCUAAUACCGCAUAAUAGCUUCGGCUCAAAGAGGGGGACCUUCGGGCCUCUCGCGUCAGGAUAUGCCCAGGUGGGAUUAGCUAGUUGGUGAGGUAAUGGCUCACCAAGGCGACGAUCCCUAGCUGGUCUGAGAGGAUGAUCAGCCACACUGGAACCGAGACACGGUCCAGACUCCUACGGGAGGCAGCAGUGGGGAAUAUUGCACAAUGGGCGCAAGCCUGAUGCAGCCAUGCCGCGUGUGUGAAGAAGGCCUUCGGGUUGUAAAGCACUUUCAGUCGUGAGGAAGGUGGUAGUGUUAAUAGCACUAUCAUUUGACGUUAGCGACAGAAGAAGCACCGGCUAACUCCGUGCCAGCAGCCGCGGUAAUACGGAGGGUGCGAGCGUUAAUCGGAAUUACUGGGCGUAAAGCGCAUGCAGGUGGUUUGUUAAGUCAGAUGUGAAAGCCCGGGGCUCAACCUCGGAAUAGCAUUUGAAACUGGCAAGCUAGAGUACUGUAGAGGGGGGUAGAAUUUCAGGUGUAGCGGUGAAAUGCGUAGAGAUCUGAAAGGAAUACCGGUGGCGAAGGCGGCCCCCUGGACAGAUACUGACACUCAGAUGCGAAAGCGUGGGGAGC
rnacentral:rRNA from 1 species